CAGACUGAAUAACCGCUUC
rnacentral:snRNA from 1 species